rnacentral:rRNA from 1 species
UAGGACGUUGAUCAUGGCUCAGACUUGAGACGCUGGUCGUGCCAAGCCUAACACAUGCAAGUCGAGCGGAUGACGGGAGCUUGCUCCUUGAUUCAGCGGCGGACGGGUGAGUAAUGCCUAGGAAUCUGCCUGGUAGUGGGGGACAACGUUUCGAAAGGAACGCUAAUACCGCAUACGUCCUACGGGAGAAAGCAGGGACCUUCGGGCUUUGCGCUAUCAGAUGAGCCUAGGUCGGAUUAGCUAGUUGGUGGGGUAAUGGCUCACCAAGGCGACGAUCCGUAACUGGUCUGAGAGGAUGAUCAGUCACACUGGAACUGAGACACGGUCCAGACUCCUACGGGAGGCAGCAGUGGGGAAUAUUGGACAAUGGGCGAAAGCCUGAUCCAGCCAUGCCGCGUGUGUGAAGAAGGUCUUCGGAUUGUAAAGCACUUUAAGUUGGGAGGAAGGGCAGUAAGCUAAUACCUUGCUGUUUUGACGUUACCGACAGAAUAAGCACCGGCUAACUCUGUGCCAGCAGCCGCGGUAAUACAGAGGGUGCAAGCGUUAAUCGGAAUUACUGGGCGUAAAGCGCGCGUAAGUGGGUUGGUAAAGUUGGGUUUUGAAAGCCCCGG